UACGUAGGGUGCGAGCGUUGUCCGGAAUUAUUGGGCGUAAAGGGCUCGUAGGCGGUUUGUCGCGUCGGGAGUGAAAUCCACUGGCUUAACUGGUAGCUUGCUUUCGAUACGGGCAUCACUGGAGUUCGGCAGGGGAGACUGGAAUUCCUGGUGUAGCGGGUGAAAUGCGCAGAUAUCAGGAGGAACACCGGUGGCGAAGGCGGGUCUCUGGGCCGAUACUGACGCUGAGGAGCGAAAGCGUGGGGAGCGAACAGG
rnacentral:rRNA from 1 species